rnacentral:rRNA from 1 species
UUCGAUGCAACGCGAAGAACCUUACCUGGCCUUGACAUGGUAGGAACCCUGUAGAGAUACGGGGUGCUAGCUUGCUAGAGCCUACACACAGGUGCUGCACGGCUGUCGUCAGCUCGUGUCGUGAGAUGUUGGGUUAAGUCCCGCAACGAGCGCAACCCCUAUUGUUAGUUGCCAUCAUUCAGUUGGGCACUCUAGCGAGACUGCCGGUAAUAAACCGGAGGAAGGUGGGGAUGACGUCAAAUCAUCAUGCCCCUUAUGACCUGGGCUACACACGUGCUACAAUGGUUGGUACAACGAGUUGCGAGUCGGUGACGGCGAGCUAAUCUCUUAAAGCCAAUCUCAGUUCGGAUUGUAGGCUGCAACUCGCCUACAUGAAGUCGGAAUCGCUAGUAAUCGCGGAUCAGCACGCCGCGGUCGAAUACGUUCCCGGGCCUU